rnacentral:rRNA from 1 species
CGGGAGGCAUAAUACAUGCAAGUCGAACGGUAAGGUCCCUUCGGGGAUACACGAGUGGCGGACGGGUGAGUAAUGCGUACCCAACCUGCCCUUAACUGGGGAAUAGCCCAUGGAAACGUGGAUUAAUACCCCAUAACAUCAUUUUGCGGCAUCGCGGAGUGAUUAAAGCUACAACGGUUAGGGAUGGGGGUACGUCCUAUUAGCUUGUUGGUGAGGUAACGGCUCACCAAGGCAACGAUAGGUAGGGGGCGUGAGAGCGUGACCCCCCACACGGGCACUGAGACACGGGCCCGACUCCUACGGGAGGCAGCAGUAAGGAAUAUUGGACAAUGGGCGAAAGCCUGAUCCAGCCAUCCCGCGUGCAGGACGAAGGCCCUACGGGUUGUAAACUGCUUUUCUUGGGGAAGAAACCUUCGGAUUCAUCCGAAGCUGACGGUACUCAAGGAAUAAGCACCGGCUAACUCCGUGCCAGCAGCCGCGGUAAUACGGAGGGUGCAAGCGUUAUCCGGAUUCACUGGGUUUAAAGGGUGCGUAGGUGGGCUGGUCAGUCAGGGGUGAAAGCCCAGAGCUUAACUCUGGAAUUGCCUUUGAUACUGCCAGUCUUGAGUAUGGUUGAGGUGGGCGGAAUAUGACAUGUAGCGGUGAAAUGCUUAGAUAUGUCAUAGAACACCGAUUGCGUAGGCAGCUCACUAAACCAUCACUGACACUGAGGCACGAAAGCG